rnacentral:rRNA from 1 species
GCGCCGGCUAACUACGUGCCAGCAGCCGCGGUAAUACGUAGGGCGCAAGCGUUGUCCGGAAUUAUUGGGCGUAAAGAGCUUGUAGGUGGCUUGUCGCGUCUGCCGUGAAACCCAAGGCUUAACUUUGGGCGUGCGGUGGGUACGGGCUGGCUAGAGUGUGGUAGGGGAGACUGGAAUUCCUGGUGUAGCGGUGAAAUGCGCAGAUAUCAGGAGGAACACCGAUGGCGAAGGCAGGUCUCUGGGCCAUGACUGACACUGAGAAGCGAAAGCAUGGGGAGCGAACAGGAUUAGAUACCCUGGUAGUCCAUGCCGUAAACGUUGGGCACUAGGUGUGGGGGACAUUCCACGUUUUCCGCGCCGUAGCUAACGCAUUAAGUGCCCCGCCUGGGGAGUACGGCCGCA